GACAUAGGUCGCAAACGUUAUCCGGAAUUAUUGGGCGUAAAGAGCUCGUAGGCGGCUCGUUGCGUCGGCUGUGAAAACCCGCAGCUCAACUGUGGGCUUGCAGCCGAUACGGGCGGGCUGGAGUUCGGUAGGGGAGACUGGAAUUCCUGGUGUAGCGGUGAAAUGCGCAGAUUUCAGGAGGAACACCGGUGGCGAAGGCGGGUCUCUGGGCCGAUACUGACGCUGAGGAGCGAAAGCGUGGGGAGCGAACAGG
rnacentral:rRNA from 1 species